UAACCUCCUGUAUUCUUUCCUCACAGGAUGUGGUCUGGGGAUUGAAUUCAUUAUUUACUGAUCUCUUGAAUUUUGAUGAUCCCUUGAAUAUCGAAGCUGCAGAGCAACAUCUGCGUGACAAGGAGGACUUUCGGAGUAAAGUGCAGGAUUAUAUUAGGCGCUAUGCAAGAUGAUCAGAUGAGCUGCCUUGUCGGACAGUUUACUUCAAGGUGUAGAAGCCAAGUCUUCUGUCUUCUGAUGUCGGUCAUCAAUUAAACACUGGAUUGAGGCAGUCCAGUAACAGUGUUGUUAUGAAGAAGAAAGGCUGUUGGUGCUACUUUGAAUUCAGCGUCAAUACAGCACAGCAAGUGAUGGGCAACUUUGGGCUAAGAUUCAAGAAUAAUUACUCUUAUUGUGGCAAAAUAGUCGAGUUUUCUUCAAUUAUAAGGAUUGUACAGAGCAUCUGGGGUCUGUCUCUUUACUGAGUGAAUCAAAAAGGACAUUUUUCUAGUGUAAUCUGGUGUGGUGUGGAAACCACAAUAUUUUGCAACAAAAUGUCUUAAGACAGAAGUGUUUAAUUGAAGCAUUAACAGCAUGUGGCUUGCAAAUGUUAAACGACUGUGUGUGGAAAAUCCAGUGAGCAACACAUGAGCCAGUGUCUCAGUCCUUGCUUGGGACACUGCCUUAAAUAAAUUGUACGCAUUACUUGGCCCCACAGCUCCCACUUGGUCAGUUAUUGGAUAAAGUAAGUCUAUUGGUGCAGAUGUGAAAUGAAUCUGUUUGUAAAAUGUAAUCCCCUAGCUGAAACUAAAGUUUAUAGCUGUGAGAUAUAUAUGGCAUACUUAUAAGUACAUAUAUUACCUAAUGUGAAAAAUAUGUUGUGUACUUGUAUGCAUGCAUAUAUAUUGCUAAAUGUGUACAAUAUAAUGUACUUGCAUAUGUGCAUAUAUUACUAUAUGUAGUGUAUACAGUGCUCAUGUAAGUGCGUGUAUCUCUUCUAACAAUGGCUGAAGUGUUGAUCUGUGGACAUUGAUCUGCAGUGCACUCUCCUCAACAGCAGGUUAAUUGUCUACUUCAGCAUUCAAAGGACCUCUCAUACCUACCAAUAUUCCACUGAAUCCUCACCCACAAAGUAAUGACACCCCAUUUCUUCACACAUUUAGCCAGCACACACAAUUACUGUAUCACUACCAUCAUUGAUUCAGCUUUCUCUCACUAUUGCUCUGAGAUUUCUCCUCCUUGAUAUCAUGUGUUACUGAUUUGUACUUUUAUUCAUGUUAAUUUAGCUCUCUCACUAUUCCAUAGUAACUCUAUUGCACCACCCCUUCCAAAAGUUUACUGAAUUAUUGACUAUAUUUCUACUGAUGUUAAGCAAGGUCUCUUACACUGUCCCUCAUAACUUUUUUGCUCACUAGCACCUCGCAUUACUGACCUCUCUAUCACUCAACAACCCCAUAUCUCCCCAACAUCACUUCCCUCCAGCCUUGUCUUGCCACUGCAGUGAACUGUGCAACUGAUUUGUAUCUCUGCUGAAGUUAGCCUAGUUCCUGUUAGUUUUGGGUUGUUGUUUUGGGGGAAUCACAUAAUAUGUUUGGAAAGCGAGGUUUCUGAUAAAUAAGUAAAUGGUAUCAAAAUCUGGAUCAAAAAGCCAUCAUUUCAUGCAGAAUGGCAGAGAUGAGCUCAGUGGACCAGGUGGCUGACCCCCCCAAUACAUAUUGCUGGUAAGUGCCAUCUAAGACAUGUAAUCUAUGAUGUAAACUUGUCAAUUGUAAAUGAAAGCUCCAAAUUCAUGCACAUGAAUUGAGAUCUGUUACUAGAUGCUAGUGGUAUUUUUAUCUCGUUUGAGAUACUUUGUAGACCACACUGCAAAUAGGAAAGGUGAUCCUAAUUGCCAGUGACUUGCGUAAAUGAGAUUGGAUGUGCCACCUUGAGACAGUUAAACUGACAGAGGCCUCCUAACCACCUAUGAUCUUCUGUGAUCAAAUCCUAUACGAAUGUAGCUUUCCAAGGUUGUGUUUGCCUGCAACUGUCAUAUCUUAUCAGAUGAACCUUCUCCUGCCAUGUUCAUCUGACCAUCAUAAAAAUGGCACGCAAAUCCUAUACCCUGUGAAGUUGUAAGAUAAAUAGUCUAAAAGAUGCCGUGUCGUUUAUGCAGUUAAUUGGACUUCUAAAUACUCAAGGACUUGUUACAAAUUAGUUUAUAGCAAAAGACCAAUCACACCGAAAUCAAUGGCUGUACUGCUAGAUGAAUUAUUUCUUAGUAGCUUCCGUCCCUUGUUUGUGUUGCGAUGUAUAAGUAUUAUUUUAUCAGCAGCCAUCAUUCAUUUUGAUCCAUUAUCAUGCAAAUUUCUAUUGAUUUGUUUUCAAUAAUGAUAUUUUUGCUGAUAAAUUAUCAUUGUGUCGUGAAUGGCAAGUGAGGCUUCUUGACUCCAAAUACUCCCAGAAAUCAAAACAUCAUUCCCCUGGUGCUGUGCAGCUGAAUACUAACAAUCUAGAACCACCCACCUUCCUGCUUAGUCACCCAUAAUAGCUGGACAAAUAAACAACACAUAUAAACAAUAUGCAGGAAAAGAAGCUUCAAUGUGUAUUGAUCAAAUAGCAACUGAAAGUAAAGCAACUCCAGUAUUCACUGUAAAAUCACUCCAAUAUACCACUGGAUGUCUCCAAUUUACAUUAAAACAAGCAGCAGCAUGUGCUAAAACAACUCCACUUGACACUGCAAAAACAUGCCAAUCUACAUUGUAAAAUUACUUUGUGCACUAAAUUUCCAAAAUGUACUGAAAAUUUCCAAUGUACAUUAAAGCAUAUGAAUUAUUGAAUAA